rnacentral:rRNA from 1 species
GACGAACGCUGGCGGCGUGCCUAACACAUGCAAGUCGAACGAAGCACUUCUGAAUGGAGAUUCGUCAAAGUUCAGAUUUGACUUAGUGGCGGACGGGUGAGUAAUGCAUGAGCAACCUGCCCUGCAGUGGGGGACAACAGUUGGAAACGACUGCUAAUACCGCAUGAUGUAUCUGGAAGGCAUCUUCCGGAUACCAAAGAUUUAUCGCUGUGGGAUGGGCUCAUGUCUGAUUAGUUAGUUGGUGGGGUAAACGGCCUACCAAGACUGCGAUCAGUAGCCGGACUGAGAGGUUGAACGGCACAUUGGGACUGAGAUACGGCCCAGACUCCUACGGGAGGCAGCAGUGGGGAAUAUUGGGCAAUGGGCGAAAGCCUGACCCAGCAAACGCCGCGUGAAGGAAGAAGGUACUUCGGA